rnacentral:rRNA from 1 species
AUUGAACGCUGGCGGCAGGCCUAACACAUGCAAGUCGAGCGGAUGAAGGGAGCUUGCUCCUGGAUUCAGCGGCGGACGGGUGAGUAAUGCCUAGGAAUCUGCCUGGUAGUGGGGGAUAACGUCCGGAAACGGGCGCUAAUACCGCAUACGUCCUGAGGGAGAAAGUGGGGGAUCUUCGGACCUCACGCUAUCAGAUGAGCCUAGGUCGGAUUAGCUAGUUGGUGGGGUAAAGGCCUACCAAGGCGACGAUCCGUAACUGGUCUGAGAGGAUGAUCAGUCACACUGGAACUGAGACACGGUCCAGACUCCUACGGGAGGCAGCAGUGGGGAAUAUUGGACAAGGGGCGAAAGCCUGAUCCAGCCAUGCCGCGUGUGUGAAGAAGGUCUUCGGAUUGUAAAGCACUUUAAGUUGGGAGGAAGGGCAGUAAGUUAAUACCUUGCUGUUUUGACGUUACCAACAGAAUAAGCACCGGCUAACUGCGU